rnacentral:rRNA from 1 species
AGAGUUUGAUCCUGGCUCAGAAUGAACGCUGGCGGCAUGCCUAACACAUGCAAGUCGAACGAAGGCUUCGGCCUUAGUGGCGCACGGGUGCGUAACGCGUGGGAAUCUGCCCCUUGGUCCGGAAUAACAGCGAGAAAUUGCUGCUAAUACCGGAUAAUGACGUAAGUCCAAAGAUUUAUCGCCUAGGGAUGAGCCCGCGUAGGAUUAGCUAGUUGGUGUGGUAAAGGCGCACCAAGGCGACGAUCCUUAGCUGGUCUGAGAGGAUGAUCAGCCACACUGGGACUGAGACACGGCCCAGACUCCUACGGGAGGCAGCAGUGGGGAAUAUUGGACAAUGGGCGAAAGCCUGAUCCAGCAAUGCC